GGAAGGCUCGUCCUCCCAGGGUUAGUCGGGACCUAAGUCGAGGCCGCAAGGCGUAGACGAUGGCCAACAGGUUGAUAUUCCUGUACUAGUAAGAUAUGUUUGAGCGAUGGAGGGACGUAGGAGGCUAAGCCGUGCGCACUGUUGGAUAUGUGCGUUUAAGCAGCAAGUCUGGUUGUUAGUAAAAUGCUUUCAACCGGGUAGACAAGCUGUGAUGAGGACCGAAUUUAAGUAGGGAAGUGGCCGAUGUCACACUGCCGAGAAAAGCUUCUAGUGAG
rfam:Lactobacillus mixtipabuli DNA, scaffold: sequence30, strain: IWT30.